rnacentral:rRNA from 1 species
AUACGGAGGGUGCGAGCGUUAAUCGGAAUUACUGGGCGUAAAGCGUGCGUAGGCGGUUUGUUAAGUCAGAAGUGAAAGCCCUGGGCUCAACCUGGGAACGGCUUUUGAGACUGGCAGACUCGAGUUGAGUAGAGGGGAGUGGAAUUUCCGGUGUAGCGGUGAAAUGCGUAGAGAUCGGAAGGAACACCAGUGGCGAAGGCGACUCCCUGGACUCAAACUGACGCUGAGGUACGAAAGCGUGGGUAGCAAACAGGAUUAGAAACCCUUGUAGUCC